rnacentral:rRNA from 1 species
UACAGAGGUCGCAAGCGUUGUUCGGAUUCACUGGGCGUAAAGGGUGCGUAGGCGGCCGGGUAAGUCUGAUGUGAAAUCCCGCAGCUCAACUGCGGAACUGCAUCGGAUACUCUCCGGCUAGAGGAAUGGAGGGGAGACUGGAAUUCUCGGUGUAGCAGUGAAAUGCGUAGAUAUCGAGAGGAACACCAGUGGCGAAGGCGAGUCUCUGGACAUUUCCUAACGCUGAGGCACGAAAGCCAGGGGAGCAAACGGG